GCGUCCAUUGUCUAAUGGAUAGGACAGGGGUCUUCUAAACCUUUAGAAUAGAUUCAAAUCCUAUUGGACACC
rfam:Gossypium hirsutum cultivar TM-1 chromosome 12, whole genome shotgun sequence